UUCCAUAGCAACCCAACAGGUCGACACGUUCCAUAGCAACCCAACAGGUUCACAUGAUCCAUAGCAAACCAACAGGUUCACAUGAUCCAUAGCAAACCAACAGGUUCACAUGAUCCAUAGCAAACCAACAGGUUCACAUGAUCCAUAGCAAACCAACAGGUUCACAUGAUCCAUAACAAACCAACAGGUUCACAUGAUCCAUAACAAACCAACAGGUUCACAUGAUCCAUAACAAACCAACAGGUUCACAUGAUCCAUAACAAACCAACAGGUUCACAUGAUCCAUAACAAACCAACAGGUUCACAUGAUCCAUAACAAACCAACAGGUUCACAUGAUCCAUAACAAACCAACAGGUUCACAUGAUCCAUAACAAACCAACAGGUUCACAUGAUCCAUAACAAACCAACAGGUUCACAUGAUCCAUAACAAACCAACAGGUUCACAUGAUCCAUAACAAACCAACAGGUUCACAUGAUCCAUAACAAACCAACAGGUUCACAUGAUCCAUAACAAACCAACAGGUUCACAUGAUCCAUAACAAACCAACAGGUUCACAUGAUCCAUAACAAACCAACAGGUUCACAUGAUCCAUAACAAACCAACAGGUUCACAUGAUCCAUAACAAACCAACAGGUUCACAUGAUCCAUAACAAACCAACAGGUUCACACAACCAUCUGAUCGGAGGACAGCGUAAAAGAGUAAGCAUAUACAUAACGCUUUCUGGUUAUAAAAAAUAAAAUAAAAAGUGACACACAUAGAAAUCAACUGUUUAAAGUGACAUGUUAUUUUUGUUCAGUAACAA